UUGUAUCUGGAGAUAUCAAGACUGAAUUCAACAAUUCAAAGUGAUCAAUUAGCAGAUAUUUUCACCAAGUCUUUACGGGGACCGAAAAUUGAUUAUAUUUAGGUUAAAUAGAUUCGUUGGUCCCUAUUUUUGCUGGUUUUCUUCAAGUAGGUCCCUGUUUUUUAAAAAUGAUCAAUUUAGUCCUUAAAUUGAAAAAUUAAACCAAUCAAGUUCAUUCCGUUAACUUCCCUGAACGGCGUUAAAAUUUGUCUUUGCUGGCAAAAGGAAGUGUAUUUUUUAAAUAGGUGGCACACAAUAUCUUUUAAGACGUGGACUUUGAUACGUGGACUUUAAGAACAUCUUCUUCUCAUUUACCUCCGCAAACAGCCAUUCUUUGGCUUCAUCCAUCUGCUAUACCACAUUAAGAAAAUCCUUCAACAACAUUCAACAUCGGCAUUCUCCAUUCAACAACAUCUGCAUUCUCAUCUUUUGAACCAUCUGCAUCCUCCAUUAACAUUUGAGAGCCACCGUAACAAUUCACACUCUAGCCUUUGCUUCCAUCAAGAGUCACCUUCAUCAUCCAUUCCAUUCCUGGAGGAGGCGUACUCAAUAUAUCGGAAAAGAAAGAAACAAAAGAGAGGCUGGCCAAGAGAAGAUCCUACUUUCUUACCCAUCAUCACCAUUCCCUUUGCUGUUAAGCUAGAUACUUAUCAGGAAAACACAACAAAAAAAUAUAACCAGUAUCUUCAUUUUCAUUUGAACCUCCAUCCCAGCUCAAGCAUAACACCACCAUCCUCAACCUGCACUGCACAAGGCAACAGAAAUAAAAACUAAUCACCAAGAACAAAGACCAAUUUCUAGCACCCAACACACACUCCAAUGUUUCCAAUCCCAGUAAACAAAACAUCAAUUGAUAUAUGAAUUAACCAAUAAAGCAAAAAAAAUCAUUUUCGUCCCC
rnacentral:lncRNA from 1 species